GGAGAGGUGCCAGAGCGGCCGAAUGGAGUCGCCUGCUAAGCGACUGGCUUGCCAAAAGUGGGCCCCUGGGUUCAAAUCCCAGCCUCUCCGCCA
rnacentral:tRNA from 1 species